GUCCAGGUGGCGGAAUUGGUAGACGCGCUACUUUGAGGGGGUAGUGGCCAUUAGGCCGUGUGAGUUCGAUUCUCAUCUUGGACA
rnacentral:tRNA from 2 species